rnacentral:rRNA from 1 species
GAUGAACGCUGGCGGCGUGCCUAAUACAUGCCAGUCGAGCGAACAGACGAGGAGCUUGCUCCUCUGACGUUAGCGGCGGACGGGUGAGUAACACGUGGAUAACCUACCUAUAAGACUGGGAUAACUUCGGGAAACCGGAGCUAAUACCGGAUAAUAUAUUGAACCGCAUGGUUCAAUAGUGAAAGACGGUUUUGCUGUCACUUAUAGAUGGAUCCGCGCCGCAUUAGCUAGUUGGUAAGGUAACGGCUUACCAAGGCAACGAUGCGUAGCCGACCUGAGAGGGUGAUCGGCCACACUGGAACUGAGACACGGUCCAGAGUCCUACGGGAGGCAGCAGUAGGGAAUCUUCCGCAAUGGGCGAAAGCCUGACGGAGCAACGCCGCGUGAGUGAUGAAGGUCUUCGGAUCGUAAAACUCUGUUAUUAGGGAAGAACAAAUGUGUAAGUAACUAUGCACGUCUUGACGGUACCUAAUCAGAAAGCCACGGCUAACUACGUG